rnacentral:rRNA from 1 species
UACGUAGGCAGCAAGCGUUGUUCGGAGUUACUGGGCGUAAAGGGUGCGUAGGCGGCUUUUUAAGCUUGGUGUGAAAUCUCCCGGCUCAACUGGGAGGGUGCGCCGAAUACUGAGAGGCUAGAGUGCGGGAGAGGAAAGUGGAAUUCCUGGUGUAGCGGUGAAAUGCGUAGAUAUCAGGAGGAACACCGGUGGUGUAAACGGCUUUCUGGACCGUAACUGACGCUGAUGCACGAAAGCGUGGGUAGCAAACAGG